AAUGGGCAGUGUCAGACACCUGAGGCCCCAGCAGCCCAGCCUGAGGCAGUGAGAGUCCUGGGAAGGGGCAGUUUGUCAAUUGCUAAGAGCAGGACAGCCCAGCCGUCAUCUUCUGAGGAGCAGAGAAAGCGGUCAUGCCACUGCUUCUUCAAGGUCAUUCAAAGAAGAGAAAACAUGUCUGGGGCAAGUUUAAAGAGCCAUGUAAUUUAAAUUUAGACAAGAUGAAGUGAGACUCGUCAAAGAGCACUAUUUCCUCACCAUUUUUUAACUGCCCUGGGAAGGCCAAUCACAACAGUGCCGAAAUGCUCUGGAAACCAUCCCAAGGAAGAUGUGGCUUUUGUUAGAACUCCGUAUUCAAUACCUCCUCCUU